UACGGGGGGGGCAAGCGUUGUUCGGAAUUACUGGGCGUAAAGGGCGCGUAGGCGGUUGGAUAAGUCAGCUGUGAAAACCACGGGCUUAACUCGUGGCCUGCAGUUGAGACUGUCUGGCUUGAGUGUGGGAGAGGAGAGUGGAAUUCCUGGUGUAGCGGUGAAAUGCGUAGAUAUCAGGAGGAACACCAGCGGCGAAGGCGGGUAGCUGGGCCAACACUGACGCUGAUGCGCGAAAGCUAGGGGAGCAAACGGG
rnacentral:rRNA from 1 species